CCGGAUAUCCGGUCGCAUUGGUUUAUCGUUCACAACACCAAGCGAAUUACAGAAAAAGGAUUCGGAAAAAAACUAACACGACCUCAAAAGUAUCCAUACCUAAUUUUUUUAAGGUAAUAUAUUAUAUUGAGAAGAAUAUUAAUAGGACUCCAGCUGUUUUACAUGCAUGUAUACACAGCAUCUUUGAUUUUUACCUGCCCCUUUUGCAGCCUGGCAGCCACUACCGACCCAGCGAGGGUCUUCAGACACGAGGGAUGCUCCCUGCAUCCACAUAUAGCCAUCCACCGUUUGACGCCCCUGCGCAACCUGAAGCCCCAUUCUUCCAUUGACCGUCAAGGCAAUUUUGUAGUGUUGAAGGAUGUUUUUGUUCUUCAAACCCUUAAACCCCAUCUGAUUGGGUUAUUGGACUACACCUGGCACCAGGAACAACCUUCAUUUGGGCUGAGGAUCGUCCCGUGUCUUGACGAACAGCGAAUUGGAUCCUCACGUUCAAGGCCAGUGAUUAUUUUUUUUCUUGACAUUUUUGUUCUACAGCUAAUAAAUAUGAAUUUAUCAACUUUACUAUGAAUUUCCUACAGGGCUAUUUUCAUAUAUAUAUAAAUAACAAACCAUUCAACUUAAAUAUGUAGGACACUUUUGAAAAGUAGUAUACUUUGUUUGCUGCAAUGUAUUUUUGCAGUGGAGUAUUCUGAUUUUGGUUCCAUUAUUGCAGGAAAGGUCCAUUCCAAAUUUAACACAACCUGUCCUGUGGUGAUUCUUCUAAAAUAUGAAGAUAAAAUGUGGGGAUUUUGCAUCACAUAAUGUUUUGUAAUGAUGAAAGCCACACUCAAUAUAGGGGAAU